UCCACUUUUUUAUGCUGAAUCGCCUUGCCACCGGCUGAUGGACCCGGCUCGCCGCCAUCGUGAGCCUGUUGGAAGUAUCACGGGACUCUGUGACGGAGCCUUGACCUUUUCCAUUUGAAGGUAUGCCCUGUGACGGCGGCGUCAGACUGGGAGUGCGGCCGGAGCAUGUGGCCCGAGGGCCCUGGCCAUUUUAGGAGAUGCCAACUAAGAGACAACAGCCCGGUGACGGCAGGAACUUCCCAGAUGGCGAGGCGGCCUUCUUUCACACCUGACCUGGAUUCGCAUUCCCGGACCUCCGAGAGAUAAGUGGAGGGCUACGCCUCACAGAGGGGAUGAGAGCGAUGUGCCGGGUCAGGACUCGUCGGAAGGAUUUUUGAAUUAGCUCUGGAGACGGGGAUGUCCAAGAAAUGGCCCCUUUAGGCCACACGAUGGGAAAGUCUCACUUUUGAUCACAAUGCUGAGGCACGUAGGACAGAACAGUCCCGACGCAGAUCGAUUCUAUCUGUGGUGGAGCGCUCCAUACUAGGUGAGGGGGUUCGCACAGGAAGGAGGUAAAGCCGGAUCUCAGCAGUCAAUGUCAAGUGAGCGAGGCGGUCCACUUGCAUUACGCCG